GCCACUGCUUCCUACAAGUGCAACGACUUUGCCUGCGGGGAUGGAUAAUGAGAAUCCUUGGAGAAUUGGCUUAUCCUGCCUGGAUGGAUAGGCGAAAUGCACCCUACGGAAUUUUAUCUCCCCAUGAACCUUUCCUAGCACUGAUCCAUGUUUCUCAUAACUAAUGGAUGGCUUUCUUUUGAUAACCUUGAAUACUUCUUUUCCUGCAGCUUUUGCUUGAUUAAAGGUCUGAAGGUCUGGUGCAGCAUAAUUUGUACUGAUUAUCCAUGCACCGGACAAAGGAUCUCAUGGCCCGUUUCUCCCCAACAAAGGAGAAAACAGUCUUAAUAUGCGACAAAGUCUGCUCAGAAAAAGGUGUAGUAGGAUUAAGAAUUUAAAUCUUGUAGGCAAUCGUUUAUACUUCCAAUUAACUUGGCUUGAGCUGAUGUAAAUGAUUUACCUGUUCUACAAUAGAUGUUGCUUCUGAGACUAUAGCAUUACGAGAUAACGAUAUGCCAUUCAUCUGUUUCGUGUAUGUUGCUCCAAUGACGAGGAUCAGAGGAAUGACCAGAAAGGAGAGCAAUGCGACUUCCCAGCAGCUGGCAAAUGCAAUUAUGAUACCAGCAAAGAAAGUGGAGAAGCUCGCAACGAAAUGACCGAGCUGCAGAAAAUUGGGGUCAGGUGCAGUAGUGGUGCACAUUGGACCACAGUUUCACAAAUAUUAUGUGCAAUGUUCCAUAAAUCACGAAAUCCAUUACCUUCUCACCAAUUGCAUCUUGUAUGACACUCAUGUGGUUGGUUACUCCGGUGAUGAUUUUUGCAGUGGUCAAGUCAGUGUCGAAGGCCCCAACCUCUUGAUUAAGUACUGAUCUCAGAAAUGCUAGCCGCAUGCGUGCUAAUUGUCUUUCACUUGAGUAUAUCCAGCAUGAGAUCUCUGCAUGC
rnacentral:sRNA from 1 species